rnacentral:rRNA from 1 species
AACGAACGCUGGCGGCAGGCCUAACACAUGCAAGUCGAGCGCACCUUCGGGUGAGCGGCGGACGGGUUAGUAACGCGUGGGAACGUGCCCUUCUCUACGGAAUAGCCUCUGGAAACGGAGAGUAAUACCGUAUACGCCAUAUAGAGGAAAGAUUUAUCGGAGAAGGAUCGGCCCGCGUUAGAUUAGGUAGUUGGUGGGGUAACGGCCUACCAAGCCUACGAUCUAUAGCUGGUUUUAGAGGAUGAUCAGCAACACUGGGACUGAGACACGGCCCAGACUCCUACGGGAGGCAGCAGUGGGGAAUCUUAGACAAUGGGGGCAACCCUGAUCUAGCCAUGCCGCGUGAGUGAUGAAGGCCUUAGGGU